AGAGUUUGAUCCUGGCUCAGGAUAAACGCUGGCGGCGCACAUAAGACAUGCAAGUCGAACGAACUUAACCAUUAGUUUACUAUUGGAGCGGUUAGUGGCGGACUGGGUGAGUAACACGUAAGCAACCUGCCUAUCAGAGGGGAACAACAGUUAGAAAUGACUGCUAAUACCGCAUAUGCCUUAGAAUCACAUGGUUCAAAAGGGAAAGAGCAAUCCGCUGAUAGAUGGGCUUGCGUCUGAUUAGCUAGUUGGUGGGGUAACGGCCUACCAAGGCGACGAUCAGUAGCCGAACUGAGAGGUUGAACGGCCACAUUGGGACUGAGAUACGGCCCAGACUCCUACGGGAGCA
rnacentral:rRNA from 1 species